rnacentral:rRNA from 1 species
UACGUAGGGUGCGAGCGGUAAUCGGAAUUACUGGGCGUAAAGCGUGCGCAGGCGGCUUUGCAAGACAGAUGUGAAAUCCCCGGGCUCAACCUGGGAACUGCACUUGUGACUGCAAGGCUAGAGUACGGCAGAGGGGGAUGGAAUUCCGCGUGUAGCAGUGAAAUGCGUAGAUAUGCGGAGGAACACCAAUGGCGAAGGCAAUCCCCUGGGCCUGUACUGACGCUCAUGCACGAAAGCGUGGGGAGCAAACAGG